rnacentral:rRNA from 1 species
UAUAGUUAAUUUUAAUCCAACAUCGAGGUCGCAAUCUUUUCUAUAGAUAUGAACUCACCAAAAAAAUUACGCUGUUAUCCCUAAGGUAAUUUAAUCUUUUAAUCAAUAAAUUUGGAUCAUAAAUUCAAUAAUUUUAGUUAAUCAAAAUUAAAAGUUUAAUAAAUUUUAAAGUCACCCCAACUAAAUAUUUAAAUUAGUUAUAUCUAAUAAUACUUAAAAAAUAUAACUAUACCAAUAUUAAACUCUAUAGGGUCUUCUCGUCUUAUAAAACCAUUUAAGCUUUUUAACUUAAAAAUAAAAUUCCAAUUAAUCUUUAUAAACAUAGAAAUUUUCUCAUCAAACCAUUCAUACAAGUUUCUAAUUAGGAAACUAUUGAUUAUGCUACCUUUGUACAGUCAAAAUACCGCAGCCAUUUAAGUAAUCACUGGGCAGGUCAAACCUUUUAUAAUAAUCUAAAGGCCAUGUUUUU